UACGUAGGGACCAAGCGUUGUUCGGAUUUACUGGGCGUAAAGAGCGUGUAGGCGGCCAGGUAGGUCGGUUGUGAAAACUGGAGGCUCAACCUUCAGAGGUCGACCGAAACCAUCUGGCUAGAGUCCGGGAGAGGAGAGUGGAAUUCCUGGUGUAGCGGUGAAAUGCGCAGAUAUCAGGAGGAACACCAGUGGCGAAGGCGAGUCCCUGGACAACGACUGACACUGAGGCACGAAAGCUAGGGGAGCAAACAGG
rnacentral:rRNA from 1 species